rnacentral:rRNA from 1 species
CGCGGCCUAUCAGCUUGUUGGUGAGGUAACGGCUCACCAAGGCGACGACGGGUAGCCGGCCUGAGAGGGCGACCGGCCACACUGGGACUGAGACACGGCCCAGACUCCUACGGGAGGCAGCAGUGGGGAAUAUUGCACAAUGGGCGGAAGCCUGAUGCAGCGACGCCGCGUGAGGGAUGACGGCCUUCGGGUUGUAAACCUCUUUCAGCAGGGAAGAAGCGAAAGUGACGGUACCUGCAGAAGAAGCGCCGGCUAACUACGUGCCAGCAGCCACGGUAAUACGUAGGGCGCAAGCGUUGUCCGGAAUUAUUGGGCGUAAAGAGCUCGUAGGCGGCUUGUCGCGUCGGAUGUGAAAGCCCGGGGCUUAACCCCGGGUCUGCAUUCGAUACGGGCAGGCUAGAGUUCGGUAGGGGAGAUCGGAAUUCCUGGUGUAGCGGUGAAAUGCGCAGAUAUCAGGAGGAACACCGGUGGCGAAGGCGGAUCUCUGGGCCGAUACUGACGCUGAGGAGCGAAAGCGUGGGGAGCGAACAGGAUUAGAUACCCUGGUAGUCCACGCCGUAAACGGUGGGAACUAGGUGUUGGCGACAUUCCACGUCGUCGGUGCCGCAGCUAACGCAUUAAGUUCCCCGCCUGGGGAGUACGG